GGAAAAAUUUCUGCUUUUUUAAAACGAAGAAAGCUAAUAAAAAUUAGAAACAAGGAUAUGAAGAAAAUAAGUAAAAGAACAGCUAUUAUAAGCUUUUGUUACAUGUCAAUCAUAUUUCAAUAUACUCGUUAUUUUGAAUUACGCAAUACAAUCGAAUAUGAGUAUAUAAUGAAAUUAGAUUUCAUUUUAUUAACGAAAUUAUUAUUUCUUGUACCGUUUUCUCUUGUACUCGGAUGUUCGAAAGUUCGAUGCUGGAAAAAACUUAAGUAAUGCAAAGUAAAGGUUAAGAUUUAUACUAUAAAUAUGAACAAAAAAGAAAAAUAAAUGUAUAAAAUAAAAAAAAAGUGAUUCCAAAUGAUGACAAACAUAAACCGGUAGAAUAAAAUAUUUAUCAAGG